CCGCCCCGCCGCCUCCACGCGCACGCCCCUCGCCCCGCCCGGAGGCUUCCGAGGUGCGGCCACCAGGCGGCGCGGAGUCCCGAGAGCAGGACCUGGCCUGUCCCGCUUCAACUGCACCCGACCGGAGCGCGCUGGUGUUGUCCGCUUCCCUCUGCCCUACGCAGCCUCGGAAAGGUCGCGAUCCCGGUGGGGGAGCAGCACGGGUGACCAAGCUGCCAGACAUCCUGUUGGUACAGAGUCAAGUAGUGAAUGAUGAAUGGAGGCCACCGUGCGACUCUGGUCAUUAACGAGGAUCGAACUGGGGUCCUUGAGCUUGCGCAGCAGGCGGCAAAACCACGGAGCUAAAGCCCCAGCCCGAUCUUAUGUUUUUCUACUGGAGCAGCAUCAUGACACAUCAGCAGGCAAUGAUGAUGUUGAGAACAGCAGCAAAAACAAACAAUCAUAUGUUCAUGAAGAACCCAAGCCUACAAAAUGGAUACCUUUCAAGAGAAGUUCAUUCUUAAAAAGACCCAAGACUUCAGGAUAAUAAAGCUCAGCAUUUACAAUCUUUUAUAUGUCCUAUUGCGACUAUUAUGCUAAAGUAAAAUAGCUAAAAAAUUUAAAAAACAAAAAAGAUGGCAAUAUCAUUAAAAUGUAGCUGUCUAUUUUGGCAGCUAUAUUGCAGAAUUUCUUGCUAUCUUUUAAUCAGCUGGGGAAAAAAGUCAAUAACUAUGCAAAUGAAUAAAAUGUCCAUUUCAAAAAUCAAAAGUAACUAUCAAUAAUCACCUCUGACGUUCAGAUUUAAGUUCAGUGCAAUUGACAAAUGCAUCGCGAAAGGAAAAUGCAGCUUAAACAUACUCAAAACAUUUGUGUCUAUUCCUGGGAGCACAUUUAAAAAUUAUUGCACAGAUUUUUAAAUUUUUAUUUAUUUAUUUUUAAACAACAACAGAGGUCAACCAUAGAUGUGGACCUCUAGCAAGAAAAGGAGGAUUUCAAGUGCCAGAUACUCAGCAUAUUAGGUUUCCUACAUAAGUCACAGGGUAAUAAGUUCUAAGUAUCUCUAAUGUGAUCCAAAACCCUAAAAACAGCUGGCACAAAACCAUCAUGACUGUCUCUCUGGGUGUAAAUUUUAAAAAAUAUUAUUACAGUAUCAAAGUCCCCACUAACAGCAACUGGGGUACAUAUAACAAUGUAUUGUGAAAUUAAGUGUAUUUAUUCUCUUACCAAUAGCAAAUGCUACCCUACCUUAGGAAAACCAAGACUUGCUUCAAUCAAUGCUGUUUUGUAAAAAUAGCAAAACAACAAAUGCAAAUCAAAGCUGCAUUACUUGGGUUAAAUCAGUUUCUACUUAGAACACAGGCUAAAAUUUUAGUAGUAAAGGCCUCAAAGUAAUUAGUGACAGGAAUAGUGUUUUUAAUUUGCUAAGCUUGAAAACAAGCAAUUGGUUAAUUGAAAUCUGUAAGGUAUAAAUUUGACAACAAUUUUCUUUAAACUUGACACUCCUGGAUCAUUUUAAUCAUGACAAACCCUGUUAAUAUAUAUACACAUGGCCUCAUGCUAACAUUUAUCUGUAUAUUUUACUUUAGUUGUGUGAGCAUGAGGAGAUUUGAUACCUACUUCUUUAAGAAAAUACUUGAUAUAAACAGAGUAAAAGACAUGAGAUAGUAGUGAUUACUGGAAAAAAAUAGCAGCUUAAAUCUAUCUAUAUUUGAAAAAAUGUAGUCACAAGUACCACAAAUGCAUAUUCAGAGCACCAGGGAGGUUAGUGCAAUUAUAUACUUUUGAAAAAAUUCAGAAUCUAAAUCCCUGGCCCAAGAAUCACUGCUAUUUAAAAACAUCUUGAAGCAAGUCUUUUAUUUUAAAGAUUGUUUUUAAAACUAAGGUAGCAAACAUUUUGCCAUG
rnacentral:lncRNA from 1 species